GCAUCAUCUUUUAGGAUUUGAAAUAGCUCAACUGGAAUUCCAUCACCUCCACUAGCUUUCUUCGUAGUGAUGCUUCCUAAGGCCCACUUGACUUCGAAUUCCAGGAUGUCUGGCCCAAGUUGAUUGAUUACACCGUCAUGAUUAUCUGCUUUGUGAAGUUGUUUUGUGCAUAGUUCUGCUGU